rnacentral:rRNA from 1 species
AUUGAACGCUGGCGGCAGGCCUAACACAUGCAAGUCGAACGCGUGGCGGACGUGUGAGUAACGUCUGGGAAAUUCCCUGAUGGAUGGGGAUAACUACUGGAAACGGUAGCUAAUACCGAUAACCAUCAGAUGUUCCCAGAUGGGAUUAGCGAGUUGGUGGGGUAACGGCUAACCAAGUCGACGAUCCCUAGCUGGUCUGAGAGGAUGACCAGCCACACUGGAACUGAGACACGGUCCAGACUCCUACGGGAGGCAGCAGUGGGGAAUAUGUCGCAAUGGGCGCAAGCCUGAUGCAGCCAUGCCGCGUGUGUGAAGAAGGCCUUCGGAUUGUAAAGUACUUUCAGCGGGGAGGCGUUACCCGCAGAAGAAGCAACGGCUAACUCCGUGCCAGCAGCCGCGGUAAUAC